UGUGUGAGCUGUGCGGCCGCACAGGGAAGCCAUGGACCAGGGGGCACCAUGUGGCCGACACAGCUCACACAUGGCCAGGUCACAGAGGUGCAGGGGAGCUAAAACAGGUACCUGGGUGGAGGAUUUCAUUAUUUUCCACCGGGCCUAUUAUAAUUCUUUUUAAAUCGCGGCAGCGGGGGCUGGGCUUAUCGUGAGGCAGAGGCGGAGCCAAUACCUACCCG